CCUGCCCCUGACUCCGGGAUAAGCGGUGGAAACGCCGUCUAAUACCGGAUAUGACACACCAUCUCCUGGUGGUGUGUGGAAAGUUUUGUCGGUCAGGGAUGGGCUCGCGGCCUAUCAGCUAGUUGGUGGGGUAAAGGCCUACCAAGGCGAUUACGGGUAGCCGGCCUGAGAGGGCGACCGGCCACACUGGGACUGAGACACGGCCCAGACUCCUGCGGGAGGCAGCAGUGGGGAAUAUUGCACAAUGGGCGAAAGCCUGAUGCAGCGACGCCGCGUGGGGGAUGACGGCCUUCGGGUUGUAAACCUCUUUUACCACCAACGCAGGCCCCGGGUUCUCUCGGGGUUGACGGUAGGUGGGGAAUAAGGACCGGCUAACUACGUGCCAGCAGCCGCGGUAAUACGUAGGGUCCGAGCGUUGUCCGGAAUUAUUGGGCGUAAAGAGCUCGUAGGCGGCGUGUCGCGUCUGCUGUGAAAGACCGGGGCUUAACCCCGGUUCUGCAGUGGAUACGGGCAUGCUAGAGGUAGGUAGGGGAGACUGGAAUUCCUGGUGUAGCGGUGAAAUGCGCAGAUAUCAGGAGGAACACCGGUGGCGAAGGCGGGUCUCUGGGCCUUACCUGACGCUGAGGAGCGAAAGCAUGGGGAGCGAACAGGAUUAGAUACCCUGGUAGUCCAUGCCGUAAACGUUGGGCGCUAGGUGUGGGGACUUUCCACGGUUUCCGCGCCGUAGCUAACGCAUUAAGCGCCCCGCCUGGGGAGUACGGCCGCAAGGCUAAAACUCAAAGGAAUUGACGGGGGCCCGCACAAGCGGCGGAGCAUGUUGCUUAAUUCGACGCAACGCGAAGAACCUUACCAAGGUUUGACAUCACCCGUGGACCUGUAGAGAUACAGGGUCAUUUAGUUGGUGGGUGACAGGUGGUGCAUGGCUGUCGUCAGCUCGUGUCGUGAGAUGUUGGGUUAAGUCCCGCAACGAGCGCAACCCUUGUUCCAUGUUGCCAGCACGUAAUGGUGGGGACUCAUGGGAGACUGCCGGGGUCAACUCGGAGGAAGGUGGGGACGACGUCAAGUCAUCAUGCCCCUUAUGUCUUGGGCUGCAAACAUGCUACAAUGGCCGGUACAAUGGGCGUGCGAUACCGUAAGGUGGAGCGAAUCCCUUAAAGCCGGUCUCAGUUCGGAUUGGGGUCUGCAACUCGACCCCAUGAAGGUGGAGUCGCUAGUAAUCGCGGAUCAGCAACGCCGCGGUGAAUACGUUCCCGGGCCUUGUACACACCGCCCGUCACGUC
rnacentral:rRNA from 1 species